rnacentral:misc_RNA from 1 species
UGAAAUUUAAGCAAAAUAUCAACAAACACGUUUACUUUACUAACGUUUUUUUUUUUUAAAUAAAAUAAAUACAAAAAGGCUUUAUUUUUUCAAUAUAAAACAGAGCUUCUACUCAUAAGUCUCUCUUCUUAUCUCUCUUCUUAUGGUUAACCAACAAAACCCUAUCCCUACUAAGAUAUCUUUCUCGGCUCUUCAGUUAACCACCUUACGAUAGUAAUACUAUUUUUCCACAAAAUAUUAAAAUAUUGUUAUAGCACUGUAAUACUAAAGUCCAAACAUAUACAAAAACUACACCGCGAAUAGACAAGGCCAAGUGGAAUCUCACUGAACUACACAUUAUAUCCUGGAAGGCCAGAACAUGGCAAUGCUGAAGCUGAAAUAACUUCCCUAACGAACUCCACAGUAGCCUUGGAUGGAGCUGGGGAAAUUAGCUAUCCACGAAAUCACCUACAUGGACGUCUAAUAUAUACAUGCGAACAUGAGACAUGUACAGUUGCACCUACUUCACAAACUUUUUAGGACUGUGUACGCAGAAACAUGAAUGUCACAGCACUCUGAAUCCCAGGAGAAGUCCAUUGCCAUGGAAGUUACCAUACUUUGCUUCCAUUUUGAUGGGUUGUAUUUAAUUUCGUUAAGGGCCUCACUAAGAGACAUAUUUCCAAAGGUAGAGCUAAUAAACUGGGAGAAUUUAGUGGCCUCUUGAUCAUGAUCUGCAACAGGUCUGAAUCUGUUCUCAUUGGAUGCUACUGCAAUUGGAGCUGCUCCAUAUUUCAAAGCUUUGAGCGGCAUUUGGAGCAAAGGAUCAUGAAAAGAUUGGCAGAGUAUUAUGUCAGAUCCUGCAAUGAUUAGAUGUGAUAGAGCUUCAUCAUAUUUGUUCAUGAAUCUCAUAUUUUCACCCUGCGAAUAUUGGAGAAAACCAAAAGCAAAGCAUUAAAGGUUGGCCAAAAACUCUUCUUUUUUUGGGGGUCAUGGGUGGGUGGGUUGGUUAGGCAUGGAUGAAGAGAGUAGAAUUGACUGCGAGUUAAAAGAAGCAAAUUGAAAACUCUGCAACUUAGAACCUGAAAUUGUGACCCAAUUUGCAUUCAGCUAAUAUGGUGGGUACUUCACUGAUAGUUUUGAAAGAAAAAGCAUGUCCCCUUGAUGCUUACUCAGUUUGUGCUGAGUGGAUGAUUGUAAUUUGCAGCAAGAUAUCAUUGAAGAGGCUGCUUUGCUUAUUUUCUUAAUGAAGUUCACUUCCUUACUAUAAAAUAACAGUAAAGAGAAAAUUAAAAAGAGAGGUAUGCUGCUAUUGUGUACCUGGAGCGCUUUCUGAAGAGAUUCUAGUGCCCUGUUUGCACUAGGCAUUUUGCUUCCCAUGAAGAUAAACUGUGGACAAUAACUGAACAAAUCAAAUUCACAUGAAAGCCUCUUCAGGACUGAAAAUUAACAAUGAAAACACCACAAAUUCACAGAAAGCCUAUACUGACUGAUAAACUGUGAAUUAUUGUUUAUAUUAGUUUCUGUAAGUACUCCUAUCACAUCAGCCAGUAAGGAGUUCUGUCAGCACUGAACAAAUAAGCAUUGCAUUUUUCCCUUACACAAUGGAAAUGCAUGAUCCUGAUAGAAGUAAGAACCUGGACAGAGUUCCUGGUAGCAUUCCAAACAACGGCCUUCAGGUUAUCCACUUCAAAAUCUGAUAAUUCUGAGAAGAUGCAUCCUACCUGUAUCAUUUUUUUUGUUUAAUUUUUAGGUAUCAUUCUGACCAACAAAAACAAAAAUACAUGAAAAUGAAAGUGGUACAAACUUCAUGCAAUACCAGCUAUAUGUGCACACCUAACACAAACUAUUGGCAAGGAAAUCCAUAUUGGCAAGGAAUUCCAUUCACAUAUUCAAUAAGCAUAUAAGACUAGUAUUUUGAUUAAAGAGAACAUAUUUUUGAGGAAUUCAAGGCCAAAAAAAAGCCUCACAUUGAUCACAUCAGGAUUGAUUGAGAGCCCAAGCUCUGAUCUGAGUGAUGCUACUUGCUGGUACAAAAUAGCAGGACAGUUGAUCGCCAACUGCAUGUGGUUGGUGUACCAUCGUGUCUCAUAAGAAUAAAUCAAGCAAUGGUAGCAUAUGUCGUGUUACUCCAAUUGAAUCUACAUGUCAUAUUGGCAACUUAGUGUAAUGGACCACUCUGAUGAACUGACCCAUGCUAAGACAAUUGCCCAUAAUUAAUGCACCAGUCCCAGAGACUCAUUUUCAGGACACCCAACUUAACUAACACAAACAGUAUGCUAAGGACAAUAAUAAGCCACAACAUGACCUAUGAACUUGCAUCAGCAAUUAGGGUUGGAUUCUUAGUACAUUCCUGAAGUGGCAACUUCAGAAAACCUGCCUUAGGAUUUUACCAUUAUCGUUCAUUCCUGAGUCACCCAUCCAGCAAACACUGAACCCCAAUCACUAUCAGUUACUUCAUCUCUCUUGAAUUUCCCCAAACAUUCUUUUCAGUCUCCUACAAUUGGUCUAGCUUCUUAGUUGAUCCAAAUUUAAUCCACCUCAACUCAUUUGAUAACUCCACAUCAAGCAUAACACAAACACAAAUGUGUACCCAAUGACAUAUACAAGCACCUUAUUGCAAAUAUUGUAAGUGACAAAUACUAAAUUUCCAUUGUUGCGAUAUCAGUUCUCGCUAUCCUAUAAUAACUCUUCAACAAACAAGUAUACAGGAUGCUAAAAGUUCAUGAACUUAAGAUGCCAGUUUUCCAGACAAAUAAGUGCAUUUUCUUGACAGCAAUCUUCUCAAGCAAGUAGUACAGAAUCAAUGAUUUAUAUUUAUCUAAUUCUUCAGAACACAAAGAGAACAUGAAAAAUUGAAAACCAAAGUUUCAAGAUCUUAUAUGCAACUCUUACAAGAACGGUAGAAGAAUUUUCAGAUAACCCCAGGCGUUGUUGCAAUGCAACUCUGCAAACAGCUUUCCCCUUCAAGUCAUCUUCACUAUAAUUUUGGGGAAGAAAUUUGUCUUUGGAAGGAUCCCAGGUGGAGUUGUCAAAUCCACAAGGAGUAACAAGCAACUUGUCACUAUAACCGAGAGUUGAUAUUAGCAUGUAUUAAACGAAAAAAUGAGAGAGAUGGGAAAAGGAGGCCGGAGGGGGUGGGGUGGGGGGGGGUGUUGGGGAAGAAAAGAAUUUGUGCAGAAAAAACAUGCAAGAAGGAACAAAAAGCAACUCUAUUCACCAAUCAAUUUGUUUUAUUUAGAGAUUUCUGCUCCAUUUCAGUUUACAUGGCAAAGGAAGGAAAAGUAGCAGAAUCAAACAUCGACUGCUGCAUAACUUACCUGUGAAUGGAUAGGGUAGGUUCUAAUCCAUGAUUCAAACUAUGAAUAAUCCUGUUUUUUGAAUUCAUGGAUGACACUAUUGCAACUUUAUUAGAGUACACAACUCCACCCUUCAGAAUAUUGACAAGAUGUGUCUUAGCAUUAUCUUGCAAGCGAUCAGGACGAUGAAGCCUACUAGGAUCAAGUCCACAAAGUGCUAGCUUAUCAGGUCGCUCAAGGCACUGUGAAUCAAAGCCAUGACAUGUCAACAAUAUUCUGGUACCUCCAAGCCCCUGUUUAACGAAAAUAUCCCAGAAAAGUGGUCCAACAAUAGCAGUCUCCCAGUUAUGUAUGUGUAACACAUCAGGCUGCUUUCCAGAUUUUGUUAUAUAAUCCAAUGAAGCACGAGAAAAAUAGGAAAACCGUUCAAAGUCAUCUGAGUAGCCAUAUACCUUCUCACGGUUAAAAAAGGAAGAGUAGUACAAAGGUUGAAUAAAAGUAACUCCUAUGCCAUUGACAACUCCUGUCCAAAUUUUGUUUCCAUGCAAUUGACCAUCAAAAUAAGAAUAAGACUCUGCCUCAAUUUCUCUCAACCCUUGAAUUUCACUGAGGUUCAGACAUGCAUACUUUGGCAAAAUAACCUCUACCAAGUGGCCUGCUUUCAGUAGUGCACAAGAUAAUCCUGUCACAUAUGAUGCCAAGGAUCCAACCUCUACGACUGGUGCCAUUUCAGUACAAAUAUGGAUAAUGUGAAAACCACUCUUUUUGCUCCCAUAUGAGAAGUGACGAAGUUCUGACAGAAGCUCAGCAUCACUUUUCUGCACAUUGUCAAAGGAAAUAUCAGCUACACUAAUUUUGUAAUCCAUGACAGCCUUUCUCAAAUUCGACGCCUCUGCAGUGUUAAUCAUGCCAGUGAGGACCAUCGAGUCAAUCCGAAGCAGCAAUUCGCAGCACAAAGAUUGUUUAUCUUUUCCUACACCAGCUCGUUUUUCUGCCUCCAAUUGCUCUAUUCUGUCAAGCAACAACUGUUUCUCUUGGUUUGCUCUGUUUAAUUCUUCAACAGCCAGGAGACGUUGAUUGUUUAAGUAUAAAAUAUUCUGCUGAGCCUCUUUGAAGAGCUGCCAUAUAUGAUUGUGUUUCACUUCUGAUUCAAAAUCAGAUUCCUUAAAAUUUUCCUGAGGCAUCUCUGCAUUGUCAUGACCUUCUACCUCCAAUUUUGAGUGAGCUCUAAAUAAGCCAUUGGCAUCCCCGUUCUUCCUCAAGAAGCGAAAGCGAAGUGAAGGAGCUUUAAAGGGUUUCCAGUGUGCAGUGUUGGAUUUGGGGAAAGGAAGAGGAUAAAGGAUAGCGGCAUUUAUGGAAAUCUCCAUUAUUGAGGUUAGUUGUAGCAGUCCAGAAGCAGAACCAGAAGCAGAGAGAAAGAUUGAUCAAAUAAUAACGAUGAUGACUUGGCAGCGAUCGUUUUCCAAAUCACCGCUAUCACUGCAACGCCCAAGGUAAGAUUGCUU